rnacentral:tRNA from 1 species
GCAUUGGUGCUUCAGUGGUAGAAUUCUAGCUUGCCAUGUUGGAGGCCUGGGUUCGAUUCCCAGCCAAUGCA